rnacentral:sRNA from 1 species
CUUAUCCCCGCUAAGCACAGUGCCUUAUAUCUCUCUCUUCGACUAAGGUUCGAUUCGAGCGUCAGCGAGAAAGCGUUGCCGCAGGCAACGACCCGAAGGGCGAAGCGCGCAGCGCUGAGUCAUCCUUCCCCCACCACCA